rnacentral:rRNA from 1 species
GAUGAACGCUGGCGGCGUGCCUAAUACAUGCAAGUCGAGCGAACAGACGAGGAGCUUGCUCCUAUGACGUUAGCGGCCGUCGGGUGAGUAACUUGUGGAUAACCCACCUCUGAGAAUGUGAUACUUUUGGGGGACCGGAGCUAAUACGGGAUAAUAUAUUGCACUGCAUGGUUCAAGCGUGUGAGUCGGUUUUUGUGUCGCUUAUAGCUGGAUCCGCGCCGCAUUAGCUAGUUGGUUAGGUAACUGCUUACCAAGGCGACGAUGCGUAGGCGACCUGAGAGGGUGGUCGACUAGACUGGAACUGAGACACGGUCCAGACUCCGACGGUAGGCAGCAGUAGGGAAUCUUCCGCGAUGGGGGAGAGGCUGACGUAGCAACGCCGCGUGAGUGAUGAAGGUCUUCGGACCGUAAAACGCUGUGAGUAGGAAGGAACAAAUGUGUAUGUAGCUAUGCACGUCUUGACGGUACCUAAACAGAAAGCCCCGGCUAACUACGUG